UGUGGAAUAUGCCCCUUGAGGAAAACAAUUAGGACCCACUGUCCAGCAAGGAGGUUGCAGAAUCAGCAACUGACAUACUGACUGAUGAAACAUGAUGGUGCGUGCAGCACGAGAGGGUUUGACUGCAGAUCCCGACCACCUGCUUCUGUAAAUUUGUACUAACCACAGUCGAAAACAAGGAGAAACGUUUGAAUACCGGCGGCCUUCUAUCAGCUAGACAAGUCCCUGAAGCUAUAAAUCAAUAAACUUAUGUGUAUUGAUGACUGUCACGCUAACUUUGACGUAUUCUGCUUUGGAGGUAUAAAGCAAUGAAAUGUG
rnacentral:lncRNA from 1 species